rnacentral:rRNA from 1 species
UGGGGAAUAUUGGACAAUGGGCGAAAGCCUGAUCCAGCCAUGCCGCGUGUGUGAAGAAGGUCUUCGGAUUGUAAAGCACUUUAAGUUGGGAGGAAGGGCAUUAACCUAAUACGUUAGUGUUUUGACGUUACCGACAGAAUAAGCACCGGCUAACUCUGUGCCAGCAGCCGCGGUAAUACAGAGGGUGCAAGCGUUAAUCGGAAUUACUGGGCGUAAAGCGCGCGUAGGUGGUUUGUUAAGUUGGAUGUGAAAUCCCCGGGCUCAAGCUGGGAACUGCAUUCAAAACUGACUGACUAGAGUAUGGUAGAGGGUGGAGGAAUUUCCUGUUUAGCGGUGAAAUGCGUAGAUAUAGGAAGGUACACCAGUGGCGAAGGCGACCACCUGGACUAAUACUGACACUGAGGUGCGAAAGCGUGGGGAGCAAACA